CAUCUUAGGGGACUCAACGAUCUUCAUGAUUUAACUAAAGCACCAUUGACGAGACUCGGGUUCAGGAUAUUACAGUGAGCUAGAGGAUGAAGCUUCAUGCAACAUUUCAAGGACUUUGCAGUUGCAGAUCCAACGGAAUUUGUAUUCUCUUUCUUCACCAGCUCUCUAUGAGUUGCUAUCCAACACCUGAUGAUCGUCACGGACAUGGUAUGACUUCUGACUAGCA
rnacentral:lncRNA from 1 species